GGGAACCUACGGGAGGCAGCAGUGGGGAAUAUUGCACAAUGGGGGGAACCCUGAUGCAGCGACGCCGCGUGAAGGAAGAAGUAUUUCGGUAUGUAAACUUCUAUCAGCAGGGAAGAAAAAGGACGGUACCUGACUAAGAAGCCCCGGCUAACUACGUGCCAGCAGCCGCGGUAAUACGUAGGGGGCAAGCGUUAUCCGGAUUUACUGGGUGUAAAGGGAGCGUAGGCGGCAAGGUAAGCCAGAAGUGAAAGCCCGCGGCUCAACUGCGGGACUGCUUUUGGAACUAUCUAGCUAGAUUGCAGGAG
rnacentral:rRNA from 1 species